GGGAAGAAGGGUGGAGGGUCUGGUGUUACCGCAGUCACUCCAGAUUUUGGUUUUGUGUGGACGAGGCUUCAAAGGACGGCCUUCAUCUCCUGAAGAUGUUGGCUCAGGUUUUCUUGUAUCUCUUGCUAGCAGGUGUGGUGCAGUGCUGGUGGAUGAUGGUUGGAUACAGGGGUAGAUGGCCUCUUUUGCAAAAGCACUCUAUAGUGGAUUGUGCCAGGUGUAGUGCAUAUUACUUGAUGAAUGCUCAAUGUUCCUUUGAUGGUGGUCAGCUCUUUUGGAAGGAGUGUGUUUACUCUGUUGAUCUGUUCUUCCUCUACAUAGAGCAGCUUGACUUUGGUGAGAGGAAGGAGUGUGCCAUAGAGGACUCUUGCUGUGGGGCUGUCUGUACCGAUAGCAACCUGUACAUCAGCAGUUCUCUUAAUAAUGGCUCCAACAGCGUCUGCAGGCCCUUUUCCAUGACCAGCUUCCAGGAAACUCCAGUUUGAAGCAGUAAACCCCAUCUGGAAUCGAAUGCUGCUUAUGAGAUAGAAGCUCUUCUUUCCUCUAUACUGCAUUGUUGGCCCAUCACUUAUGAAGAAGAGCUUCUGGAUCCUUUGAUCUUUCUCUUUCAGGUACUAAAGAACUGGUUCAAGCUGAGCCAGUAUGGCAGGAGGAUCAUGCUACAUGGAAGGUGAUAAGGCACAAAAUGUCAGUGUACCAUCUGUGGUGUACACAACAGCAUUGUGAAGCAUUGUCUGUCUGUGUAAUGCUCCAAAGUGGAUUUGUUGUACCUCCUUUCCAUAUUUGCACUGCCAGUUUUCUGUGUAGUCAAUAUGAGGAAUAGCUUAAUCUUCUUUCAGAGAGCUGUGCAAGGAGUGUAGCUAUACUGAUGAUGGAUGUUGAAGAAGUGUUUGGACACUUUGGCUAUCAAAAUCCUCCAGUAGUUGCUCUGGGCUGCCCUCACAUUUCUAUUUGACCGUUUUUGUCCCUGUGAUUCUCUUUUUUUCCUCUAUCCUUUUCUUUUUCAUUAUCUUCUUUUUUGUGACCCACUGAUACCACCAUGUGGUUCCUGUCUGUGGCGUACUUGUAGUGUGUGUGAGUGACUUGUUCUAACAUGAGAGGCAUUCUCUGUACAUAAAAGCUUUAAUCUGUACAUCACAGCACAACUCUUCUGCAACUAUGCUCAAGCUGUUUGAGUUAAUCAUGCCAAGGUGCUGAAGUCUGUCCGCUUUCAUUUGGGCAUUAUCAUGUACUUUACAGACACAUGUCUCCCUGUUUUAUAAGUUUGGGGCAACAAUCCAAAAAGGGCUGACAUGACAGAACAAUGAAUAGGACAGCCUCAGAUGAGGCAUCUCCACCAUCAGCUUCUUGUGCAAAUUUAGCAUUGUAUCUAAGAGGAACCUCUUCUUUUUUUGUUUGAGCCUUGUGAUGGUCUCGUUUUUUCCUGCUAAUGCUAAUGUCGUGCAUUAGCGACAUAAGAAUGUUUUCACAAUGCCAACGGUCCCCUGAUGACUGGUGUACCUUGACUGUGGCUUGUCUGUUUUCUUGUGGUCCAUUUUGUGAUGGGAGACACCAACAGUUUUUUCAAACCAAAAAAACAAGUCUGUAUUUCCUCAACAAUCUGUUUGAGAGAUCUCUCCUGAUUCCAUGUUUGUCUUCAUUGCUGCGGACUUUCUUUCAAUUGGUGCAUCAGUGUGAUGUGGAAAAGAAGGUUUCUUCUGACAUAAGUAGGGAGUCUGUGCUUCUGCCCUUCCUGGUUUUGGUUCUGGGGGAAUCAUCUGAGCUUGAUGUGACCUUCGGCUUUAACCUCUGUAACCUCAAAGACAAAGGAGAUGGUCAUAGACUUCCGUAGAUCCAAACCCUCUCUUCAGCCAGUGAACUCCUGUGGAGUGGACAUCGAAGUGGUGACAUCAUAUAAAUACCUAGGUGUACAUCAGGAUAAUAAGUUGGACUGGUCUAAAAAUAUAGACUACAUCUGCAGAAAGGGGCAGAGCUGCCUUUUUUGCCUGAGAAGACUCUGAUCAAUAGACAUCUGUAGUAGGACGCUGCAGAUGUUUUAUCAGUCUGUGGUGGCAAGUGUUCUGUUCUACGCUGCAGUCUGCUGGGGAGGAAGCAUCGAACACAAGGAUGCAAGAUGUCUUAACAAACUGGUGAAAAAGGCUGGCUCUGUGGUAGGACUCGAGCUUUACUGGGUGGAGGAUGUGGUGGAGAGAUGUACACUGAGGAAGGUGAAGACUAUUCUUAAGAACAUGGAUCACCCACUUCACAACACCUUGAUGGACCAAAGGGCAAAUGGUGGUGGAUGGCUCCUCUCUCUUCGCUGCAGGACAGAAAGAUUUAGAAGAUCUUUUGUACCAACAGCCAUCAGGCUUUAUAAUUCUUACGUAAAUAAUAGAUAACUUUUAUAGACAUAUUACGUGAGACAACAGACAAUUGAAUUUCCCUUCGGGGUCAAUAAAGUUCUUCUUUUUGUACUUGUCUCCCCUGCGCUGCAUCUCUUGGAUCUUCUGCUCUAGCCGUUGUAUUUUUCUGUUCUUAUGCAUGUGUGAACUUCUCCUUUUCUUUGACACUGGUGUCUGGUCAGUUUCAGUUGUUGAACUCCUCAUCCUUCUCUGGUCCGAUGUUUGAUCACUAGAAGAGCUGGCUGGGCUAGAAGCCAUGGAAAAAAAACCCUGUCCUGUUCUUUUUUUCUUUUCUCUACAUACCUGUUUUCGCUGUCUUCCCCUCCAUUCUCGUCUGAUCAUCCUUUGCUCCCUGUCAGAUAAGUCACUUCCUUCUUUUCUUCUUUCUCUUUCCUUCUUUAAAUAUUGUGCAAAUUUCACUGGGUUAUCCCUCACUCUUUGUCUGUAUUCUCUCAACCUUUUGGCUCCACUUUUUCCAGUCAGUUUUAGCAUGUCUUGCCCUGAGCGCUACAAUUUCAAAUCAGAAACAUGACUUUAAAUACAAAAUAAAUCAUUGUCUUCAAUAUGUUAAUUUGCUACAAAGAGGUUAUUGACAUUAUUAUUUAGAACACAUUUCAAAAUGAUGGGGUUUAACUACUAAUCAUUAUAUUUUGUCACAACCAAAACAAUCAUGUCAUGACCGAACCAUUACCACGUUUCAGUUGUGACUGUUUUGGAUGUGACAUUUUUAGCUAAUUCUUGGCAAAGCUACAGUAUGCUGGCAAGCAAAUGGCUAGUUUGUCUAAUUUGAAGACUUGUCCUUGCAGAAAAACAAAAUAUGUUGACAAAAUCCAAAUAUUUUGAUUUUCAGAUUUAGAAGCCAUUUAUGUCAGAAAAUGAUAUCAAUCAGCAACUUUCCAUGCAUUCAUUAGGUAAAGGACAUCAGAGUGCUUCCCCCACUUGAAGAUUCAGGGGUGUGGCAAUAACCCAGACUCAACCAAUAAAUUUAAACUCUUGUGUUUCUGUUGUGAUAUAAAAUCUGGGGACACCUUUUUUCAGCAUAUUAAAACAAAUUUAAAUAUUAUACCCACAAUAAAUCUAAAUCUUCCAACUCCUUUUUAGACUUAAUCACAAAUAUCUGUUAAACCACCCUUUUUUUUUGUUUUAUAAAAAAUGUUUUUGGUGUUAUAUUUUAUAUUAUGUUAUUUAUUUUAUAUUUUUAGCUUAUCUCUAUCUCAUUUAAUGUUUUAGAUUUAAAGAGUUCAUAAAAGAUCUUUGCAACCAUAUAUGUUUGCUUUUUUUUUUGUCAGGGGACAGGAUUUUGGACACGUUUGGUAGAAUGUCCCAUAUACACAUAUUUCACUUAACAAAUUAUGAUUAAAUAAGCAGACAAAACUAUGAAAUCAAUAUAAAGGCACAGAUGCCAUUUGCCCGGCAACAUUACUCAAAAACACCCUCAAAAAUAUAUAAGGACAUUAUACUAACUUUAGGCAGUAGAUGUACCUGGCAAAAUAAUGUUGACAGUCAGAGGACAUUAGUGUUGUGAGCACAACCAGGCAUUAUGGGUUGAUGUUCCAAAACCUGGAAAUAGAAUUGAAACAUUUGUAUGAACACACAUAAGGUGAAACAAAGCACUAGCACACAUGCCAAUUUUUUUCAUACUCACCAAUAUAUAUUGUCCACAACGGCGUGAAGAACAUAGGAUGGCCAGCCUUUCCAAUAGGAGGUUUUCAGUCACGUGAUCUUGAUUUCGCGCGAGGACCAAAUGGAGGGCAGGAAGCGACUGACUGUAUUGGAGGAGAUGCGCCGGUUUAGAUGCGUGCCAGUAUUUAGCCUUAGAUGGAGUUUACCACCCACUUUGGGUUGCACUUUC